GGAUGGAAUUAUUUCAGCUCCAGUGUUUAUAUCUUCAAUACUGGGCAGAAGACCUGGACUGAGAGCAGAGAGAACUGCAGAGAGACAGGAGCAGACCUGGUGAUCAUAACCAGCAGAGAGGAACAGGAAUUCGUCAAUAAACUGCGGGCUGGAGGACAAGCUUGGAUUGGUCUGAGUAACAGAGAGAACAAGUGGAAGUGGGUGGACGAUACAACACUGAUCACUGGGUUCUGGGAAGAUAAAGAACCAAACAGUGCUGCAGGAGAAGAUCGUUGUGUUAUAACUGGUAUAAAAACUGAUCCUGUGAAGAACUGGGCUGAAUAUCUCUGUAAUAAAACGUAUAAUUGGAUCUGUGAGAAGAAAAUCUUUACCUGAACUGCUGUAUGUGAAUGAAAAGCAGUAAAUUGAAUGUACAUGUGUAUCUGUGUGUGUGAGUGUGUUGUGUCUGUAAAAUCCUCAUUACUGUUAAUAACUCUGUAACCAUCACGGUGUCACCUGUUUAUCUUUCAGAGAUUAUUUUUCAUUCAGGUUUGUUUAUGAAACGCUACAGAUUCUACAGUAGUGACGUGUACAAACACCAGAGCUGUGGGGUUUCAUUUGGGAUUUAACUGCAUUUGGACGACUUUACAGUCAUGUGUGUGUGUCAACAUGGCCGCCAGAUUAACUUAGUCUAAUCUAAUUUAGGUGUUGCACCAUUAAUAAAUAAAUAAAUAAAGAUAACUAAAGCUUUCGGUUAUACAGUCGACCCUGUGAAGUCGCGGUUCAGAGUUCAUGGCCUCAGUCGUUCUCAGAUUUUUCCUUUAGAAUCGAACUAAUAAAUGUUCACGAAAACCCAAUAUAUAAUUUUUUAUGCGCUUUAACUCUAAACUAUUAAAAGAACAAUGUAAUUAACUAAUUUUGUAACAUAAAUAUUAUUGUAAAUUCAGCAAAAUUUCCAUAUA